rnacentral:ncRNA from 1 species
UUGAGCCGUGUGACGGGAAACUGUCAUGCACGGUUCUUAGGGGGGAAUGGGGCUUGGAGGCCCCUGAGCUGCCCGAU